rnacentral:tRNA from 1 species
CCCUGGUUAGCUCAGUUGGUAGAGCGCUCCACUUGUAAUGGAGAG